UUGGUCAAUGGGCGAAAGUCUGAACCAGCCAUGCCGCGUGAAGGAUUAAGGCCCUCUGGGUUGUAAACUUCUUUUAUAGGGGAAGAAAUGUGACGGUUCUCCGUCACUUGACGGUACCCUGGGAAUAAGCACCGGCUAACUCCGUGCCAGCAGCCGCGGUAAUACGGAGGGUGCAAGCGUUAUCCGGAUUCACUGGGUUUAAAGGGUGCGUAGGUGGGCAGAUAAGUCAGUGGUGAAAUCUUCCGGCUUAACCGGGAAACUGCCGUUGAUACUAUUUGCCUUGAAUAUUGCGGAGGUAAGCGGAAUAUGUCAUGUAGCGGUGAAAUGCUUAGAUAUGACAUAGAACACCAAUUACGAAGGCAGCUUACUACACAAUCAUUGACACUGAGGCACGAAAGCGUGGGUA
rnacentral:rRNA from 1 species